CAAUAAGCGGAGGAAAAGAAACCAACAGGGAUUGCCUCAGUAACGGCGAAGUGAAGCGGCAAGAAGCUCAAAUUUGAAAGCUGGCCCCCUCGGGGUCCGCAUUGUAAUUUGCAGAGGAUGCUUCGGGAGUGGCCCCCAUCUAAGUGCUCUGGAACGGGCCGUCAUAGAGGGUGAGAAUCCCGUAUGGGAUGGGGUGUCCGCGACCAUGUGAAGCUCCUUCGACGAGUCGAGUUGUUUGGGAAUGCAGCUCUAAAUGGGUGGUAAAUUUCAUCUAAAGCUAAAUAUUGGCCGGAGACCGAUAGCGCACAAGUAGAGUGAUCGAAAGAUGAAAAGCACUUUGAAAAGAGAGUUAAAAAGCACGUGAAAUUGUUGAAAGGGAAGCGCUUGCGACCAGACUCGCCUACGGGGUUCAGCCGGUAUUCGUACCGGUGUACUUCCCCGUGGGCGGGCCAGCGUCGGUUUGGGCGGCCGGUCAAAGGCCCUCGGAAUGUAACGCCUCUCGGGGCGUCUUAUAGCCGAGGGUGCCAUGCGGCCAGCCCGGACCGAGGAACGCGCUUCGGCACGGACGCUGGCAUAAUGGUCGUAAGCGACCCGUCUUGAAACACGGACCAAGGAGUCUAACAUCUACGCGAGUGUUCGGGUGUCAAACCCGUGCGCGCAGUGAAAGCGAACGGAGGUGGGAACCCUCACGGGUGCACCAUCGACCGAUCCUGAUGUCUUCGGAUGGAUUUGAGUAAGAGCGUAGCUGUUGGGACCCGAAAGAUGGUGAACUAUGCCUGAAUAGGGCGAAGCCAGAGGAAACUACUGGUGGAGGCUUCGCAGCGGUUUCUGACGUGCAAAUCGAUUCGUCAAAUUUGGGUAAUAGGGGCGAAAGACUAAUCGAACCAUCUAGUAGCUGGUUCUGC
rnacentral:rRNA from 1 species